CCACAGAGAGACAAAAUCAAAAUCUUAACGGCCAUUUAAAUGUUGGCACUCUGAAUCCAAAAUUCAGAGAAAACAGCUGAGCGACCUGGAGGUUUUAACACAGGCUGUUCGUUUACAUUAAUGGUACUUUGCGGCUCUUUGAGGGAAACCAAACAUUCAGGAUUAUUUCACUUUAAAAAUCCGUUCAAAAGAUCCAUUUUGAACCAUGAGUGAAAUUCACAGAAAGGUAGAAUCAUCAUAAAAUUAAUGUGCAAAGGCCAACAGAGUAAUUAUGUACUUCUGUUUAUUGUAAGGCCUGUUAAAGUUCUACACUUUUAUUUUGGUGACUUUCUAGUUAAGGUCGCUAUGGUAACAGAACACAGUUCUACCAGAGAAAGUCAACAGCGAUAAAUGAAAAGGUUAACAGAAAAAUGGAUAAAAAGCAACUGAACUUAAACUUCAGUCAUUAAGGGAACCAGAUGUGAUGACUUACCAAAGACGAUAAGCAUGCCCAGAGGUUUUAGCAAACCGAAACCUUUUUGAGUGUCGGAGCCACCAAGAGGGUCCAGGACAAUAUCCACUCCUGCAGA